GAUGAACGCUGGCGGCGUGCCUAAUACAUGCCAGUCGAACGAACGGACGAGGAUCUUGCUUCUCUGAUGUGAGCGGCGGAGGGGUGAGUAACACGUGGAUAACCUACCUAUAAGUCUGGGAUAACUUCGGGAAACCGGAUCUAAUACCGUAUGAGAUUUUGAACCACAGGGUUCAAAGGUAAAAGACGGUCUUUCUGUCACUUAUAGAGGGAUCCGCGCUUCAUUAGAUAGUUGGGAAGGUAACGGUUUACGAAGGCAACGAGGCAUAAACGACCUGAGAGGGUGAUAGCCCACACUGGAACUGAGCCACGGUCAAGACUCCUAAGGGAGGCAGCAGUCGGGAAUCUUCGGCAACGGGCGAAAGCAUGACGGAGCAACGCCGCGUGAGUGAUGAAGGCCUCCGGAUCGUAAAAAUCUGUUAUUAGGGAAGAACAUAUGUGUAAGUAAACGUGGACAUCUUGACGGUACCUAAUCAGAAAGCAACGGCUAACUACGUG
rnacentral:rRNA from 1 species